CGUCUUGUUCCAAAGCUGAGAGGGUCAUUAUUUGUCUAAGGCUAGAAUGGUACCAACAAGAUGUAAACUGUAAGGAGAGGAGGAGAUGAGGCCUUUCCCUGGCAUUUAGUAGGUAAUACUCAAGGGAUUCUCGAAAAAUGACACAAUGUUAUUGCUCCUUGUCUUUUUCUUUCCUCAUUGGUCCUGGUGAAGGAGGACAUUUCUGCUCUUCAAAUUUCCUUAUAACCCAGAGAUGUUCAUAGAAAGCUUGAGACCAGUUGUGAUGGCUCAUGCCUGUAAUCUCAGCACCUUGGAAGGCCAGGACAGGAGGAUCACUUGAGCCCAGGAGUUCAAG